UUUUUUUUUUUUUUUUUUUUUUUGUCUUUUGUCUUUUUGUUGUUGCUAUUUCUUGGGCCGCUCCCGUGGCAUAUGGAGGUUCCCAGGCUAGGGGUCGAAUCGGAGCUGUAGCCACCAGCCUACGCCAGAGCCACAGCAACGCGGGAUCCGAGCCGCGUCUGCAACCUACACCAUAGCUCACAGCAACGCCGGAUCGUUAACCCACUGAGCAAGGGCAGGGACGAACCCGCAACCUCAUGGUUCCUAGUCAGAUUCGUUAACCACUGCGCCACGACGGGAACUCCUGAUUUAAAUUGUUUCUUGUUCUUAUUUUUAUUCUCCUUAAUGGAGUCAUUGGGCAAAUAGUGUAGUGCUUUAUAGGUCUAAAAUUUUUUUUCACCUGUGUAUUCUUCCUCCAUUUUCUAUGCUUAAGAAGAGGGAUUUGUGGUAUGUUACCAGGAGAAGGGGGAUUACUAAAUGACAUUUUCAAUUGUAAGAGUUCUGUGUGAUUUAGAGACACUGAAUUUAGUGGUUUCAGUUUUAUUCUUUUUACAAGAAAGUGUCACUUUAUAUCAUGUGAAAAGUACCCUUUCUCAACUGGGACACAAAACAUGAAAAUACUUCUUUUAACCUUUCAAUACAUCUCCUAAGCUAAAUUCAAAAUACUUGUCUCUACUUUUCACACUGUACAGACUAUUUUUUCUGCAGUCUUCACCCCAGAUUAAUUGUAAUGUCUAAAAAUUUUUGAUUAUUCUAACAUUUAAUAGGUCUGUUUUGAUAUUUAUAUGUCAUGAUGACAUUCGACUUUGCAAAUUUAUCUUAAUUAGGAUAUGCAAAGCAUAUUAUUAUUUCCAAAUAAAAUAAAGUGUUUCUAAAAGUGUAUUGUAUUGAAAUAACAUUAGUUUAUAACAUUAUGUAAAUUUCAUAGUUUUUUUUUUUUUUUUUUUUUUUUAUCAGCAAGAUUCAUGGAGAGUUAAUGACCCAAGCACAUCCUGAAAAAUCACUAGGAUUACACUUGGGAUUGUAUUUACCUGCAGCCUCUUUUGAUAACAGAGGCUUAAUGCAAAUAGACAUUGAAAGUUAAUGUCGUCAUAUGGUGGAGUGAGGUAAUUUACUAAAAGCACCUAUAACUAUUUUCCAUAAAAACACGUGUGAAGCAUUUGCAGCCUUCACAUUACAGAAAAUUACUAAAAGCAAAGCUAAGAAUUUAGGCUGGUAUUAUAUUCUACACCAAUCUGUGUCUCACUUUCAUUGCUGUCUGCAGUUUUUUAAUCUAAAUGUCUUUCCCUUGUGUAGAAUUAGCCUUUUUUCAUAGACGAGCUGAAAUCUCUGAAACUGUCUGUCAUUAUUGUUUGCAAUUUGGAGCUAUUUUCCCGAAGGAUUGUAAUCAGUUUUCUUUUAAAGACUAAGUGAUAAGUUUGAAAGAAAGUGACGGGCAGAAAAUUAAAAAUAAAAUGAUUGUAAAAUGGAAAUAUAUAAAUUAGCUUGAAACAUUGUCUUAUCAUAUUUGGCCAAUUAGUCUGAUACAAGCUCUAAACCCAAGCGCUUAUAAAUGUCAAAUCUCUGUGAACCCAAAGUGGUUCAAUUUUAGCCCUUCUAUACACCUAUGAUUCGGAAAAAUAAAAGAAGACUCCUGGUGACAAACAUUCCGAAAUGACCUUAUUUACAGCUAAUCCAUAUUGGACAAAAACCACAUGGUUUUUAUUUUUUAUUUUUUUGUUAUGCUUGGCUCUAAAUGAACAGAUUUAGAGUAGCCAUAGAUUAAAUCUGAGUAGGCAAGGCAUAAGAAACAAGUUUUUUUUAAUGUUGAUACCUUUCUGUUUAGAGACAGGUAAUCUGAGAAAUAACCACACGUUUAAUAAAUAUUCUCUUCAAAAUUAUUAGAAUCACUUAGCAACUACAUAUGAUAAUAAAACACCCCACUAUCUCAUAUUCCAGUGCUUAAAUAAAAUAUUUUAUUGUCAUGUAGCUCAUACCUUCAUAUGUCUAUAGAUAGAAUUUCUGAGUCUUCAUUUACUCUUAUGUCCACAUAUAAACAUAUAGCCGUAUAUCAGGCAGUCAGUUUUGAAUAAAAUUAGUCUAUCCACAGAUCAUAACACUUACCCUUUUUGAGUUUCCUGCAUCACUGUAACUUUACUUUUGUCAAACUCUUCCAUGUCUGAGUCAUUGCUUAAGAGAAUGUAUUUUUCCUGCUUAUCCACUUCCAUCAUUUUCAUUUCUGAAAGUCUUGAUUCAAUAAUCUCUGAAAGUUCACAUAAAUCUUCAGGUGGUUUUAAACAGAUGCCUAUUUAUAUCUUAUAGCAACAUAUAGGAAACAACUUCAGGGCAGAAGGCUUAUUAGUCUGAAUUCUCCAAUUCAGCAUUAAGUCCUAAACCCAAGUGGCUGAUGGGGAUUUUCUGGCCAAUCUCCUCCCAAAGCUGUCAUGGCAGGUAAGAUUUCAGUGCCACCUUCACAGGACUGGAUGUGGGGAGGCAGGAGGAGGGAGCAAAUCUGGCUACAAAAAGGAUUCCUAUGUAGGGAGGGGACAGGAAAUCCAAUACCUAUGAAUAGCCAGCAACUUCUUUGGUGAAUUUUCACCUACAUAUUUCUCUCAUCUGAAACUGCUAUUUUUUAAAAGUCAAAAAGAAGAAUUUUUAAAAGGAGGGAAAACCACAGUGGCAUCUUGAGGUUACAUACCCUGUGAGACACAGAUACAACACUGAACAGCAUUCAUGAGCCAGCUUUUCUUCUCUCUACCUCAGGUAAUUCUAAUCUUCCAGCUCUGGGAUAAUUUUUAUUUAACUUGGAACACAAAUUAUUUCAGAUAAUAUUUUAAAAAUAUUUCUUCUGAUAUGUAACCCUUGCAAUAAAGGAUUAAUACAUAUAUGUUGGAAAUAAAUAAAGCUUGUUACUCAGAUGAUUAUUGACAAGGGGUAGAAAAUUAAUAGAUUUCUCCUAUGGACACAAUUUUCUUCGUGACCUAUUGGUUCUGUUUAUUUUAUUGAGGUGGUUACCUACAUGUGCAGCUGUUGUCUCUUAGAGAAAUGGGUCUCAGUCUUACUUGAACAUCAUACUCAUCUGUGGGAGUGUUUAAAAAAUACCAAUGGCGGGGCCCCAAACCAAUUAAAUUAAAUCAGAAUCUUUGAGAGUAAAAUUUAUUUAAAAAAAACCCUCUAAGUAAUUCUAAGAUCCAGCUCAUAUUAAAAAAAAAUACUGACUGGAGUUCCCAUCGCGGCUCAACAGUUAGCAAACCCAAUGAGAUCCGUGAGGAUGUGGGUUCAAUCCCUGGCCUUGCUCAGUGGUUUCUCAGAUCUGGCAUUGCUGUGACUGUGGUGUAGGCUGGCAACUAUAGCUCUGAUUGGACCCCUAGC
rnacentral:lncRNA from 1 species